rnacentral:rRNA from 1 species
GACGAACGCUAGCGGCGUGCCUAAGAAAUGCAAGUCGAGCGAGGUUAGAGAGCUUGCUCUCGAAGCCUAGCGGCGAACGGUCGCGUAACACGUAAGGAACCUGCCCCGAAGUGUGGGAUAGCCCCGGGAAACUGGGAGUAAUACCUCAUGUGGUCCAUUGCCGGCAUCGGUGAUGGUCUAAAGCAGCAAUGCGCUUUGGGAUGGUCUUGCGGCCUAUCAGCUAGUUGGUGUGGUAACGGCGCACCAAGGCGACGACGGGUAGCUGGUCUGAGAGGAUGGUCAGCCGGACUGGGACUGAGACACGGCCCAGACUCCUACGGGUGGCAG